CCAUUUCAAAACAACUAAGUAUAUCUGUUACAAUUACCACCCCUACACCAACUAUUUCUGUAACAAUUCCAAUACUAAUUCCAACUAUAUCUGAAUCAACCAUCACUACUACUGUUCCAAUUAUUUAUGAAACAACUACAACUACUACCCCGAUAACCACUGUAACCAAUCUACCACAAAUACCUCAAAUUCUUCUCUCCCAAAUCUUGAAUCCAAAUGAAAGCAUCAGACCUGAACAAACCCCCACUAUAAAAACUGAACAACCAUUUGAACCAACACCACCACCAAUUAUUGAACCAAACCCACUGACCCUAAACCAAAUCAACCAGAAGACUUCUCUUCUGAUUCAAUCUUUUCCACACCCUCUUCAUUCAUACUCACUAUCCCUAAAAUGUGUGCUUUUCUAGAAGAAACACCAACACCACCAUCUCUACCCUCUCAACCUAACAAAAUAGAUGAACCCGACAUUGAUACUUUCAUAGAAAGUAUCAUAAACAAUGAAC
rnacentral:lncRNA from 1 species